rnacentral:rRNA from 1 species
UACGAAGGGGGCUAGCGUUGCUCGGAAUCACUGGGCGUAAAGGGUGCGUAGGCGGGUCUUUAAGUCAGGGGUGAAAUCCUGGAGCUCAACUCCAGAACUGCCUUUUGAUACUGAGGAUCUUGAGUUCGGGAGAGGUGAGUGGAACUGCGAGUGUAGAGGUGAAAUUCGUAGAUAUUCGCAAGAACACCGAGGCGGAGGACGGCGG